AUGGAGACACACAAGCUUCACCACCACGGCAAGGUGUCAGCCCAAGGUGAAGGUGAAAUACGGUACUGCUGACAAUCUUUGAAUAAGUUCUGCAGGAUAGUCUGGGAGGGUUAAAAGUUUUUAGCUAAACUGUACAAACACCUGCAAUGGAGACAUUGCCACUUCUCUUUUCUUUUCAAAUUUUGAACCUUUGAACCUUUCCACUAGGUUUAACUGGCAAACCAUUGGAGAAACUGCAAAGUUUUGAUGGGCUUACCCAACAACAGAAGACAACAAGAGUGGAGUGGAUAGUGAAGGAACUGAAACAUGUGAAGAUUAUCCCUAAGGACACCUACGUGGAUUCUAGAAUGUUUGCCAUGAGAUGUGCUGAACAGGUUUUUGAUUUAUUAUGGUGCCUUGUCUGUCACGAUAUCUGGUUUGUCUGGGAACGAUCUGAAUUCCUUCAACAAGCUGAAGGACAGAUGCUGACAUCCAAACCUUUCUCAUGGACACCUCCUCCACCUCC